AGAGAAUUGCUUGAACCCAGGAGGUUGAGGUUGCAGCGAGCAGAGACUGCAUUACUGCACUCCAGCCUGGGCGACAAAG
rnacentral:snRNA from 1 species